rnacentral:rRNA from 1 species
UACGUAGGGUGCAAGCGUUAAUCGGAAUUACUGGGCGUAAAGCGUGCGCAGGCGGUUGUGCAAGACAGAUGUGAAAUCCCCGGGCUUAACCUGGGAACUGCAUUUGUGACUGUACAGCUGGAGUGCGGCAGAGGGGGAUGGAAUUCCGCGUGUAGCAGUGAAAUGCGUAGAUAUGCGGAGGAACACCGAUGGCGAAGGCAAUCCCCUGGGCCUGCACUGACGCUCAUGCACGAAAGCGUGGGGAGCAAACAGG